rnacentral:rRNA from 1 species
GAUGAACGCUGGCGGCGUGCCUAAUACAUGCAAGUCGAGCGAACAGACGAGGAGCUUGCUCCUCUGACGUUAGCGGCGGACGGGUGAGUAACACGUGGAUAACCUACCUAUAAGACUGGGAUAACUUCGGGAAACCGGAGCUAAUACCGGAUAAUAUAUUGAACCGCAUGGUUCAAUAGUGAAAGACGGUUUUGCUGUCAUUUAUAGAUGGAUCCGCGCCGCAUUAGCUAGUUGGUAAGGUAACGGCUUACCAAGGCAACGAUGCGUAGCCGACCUGAGAGGUGGAUCGGCCACACUGGAACUGAGACACGGUCCAGACUCCUACGGGAGGCAGCAGUAGGGAAUCUUCCGCAAUGGGCGAAAGCCUGACGGAGCAACGCCGCGUGAGUGAUGAAGGUCUUCGGAUCGUAAAACUCUGUUAUUAGGGAAGAACAAAUGUGUAAGUAACUAUGCACGUCUUGACGGUACCUAAUCAGAAAGCCACGGCUAACUACGUG